UGGGGAAUUUUGGACAAUGGGCGCAAGCCUGAUCCAGCCAUGCCGCGUGCAGGAUGAAGGCCUUCGGGUUGUAAACUGCUUUUGUACGGAACGAAAAGGUGCCUUCUAAUAAAGGGCGCUCAUGACGGUACCGUAAGAAUAAGCACCGGCUAACUACGUGCCAGCAGCCGCGGUAAUACGUAUGGUGCGAGCGUUCAUCGGAAUUACUGGGCGUAAAGCGUGCGCAGGCGGUUUUGUAAGACAGAGGUGAAAUCCCCGGGCUCAACCUGGGAACUGCCUUUGUGACUGCAAGGCUGGAGUGCGGCAGAGGGGGAUGGAAUUCCGCGUGUAGCAGUGAAAUGCGUAGAUAUGCGGAGGAACACCGAUGGCGAAGGCAAUCCCCUGGGCCUGCACUGACGCUCAUGCACGAAAGCGUGGGGAGCAAACA
rnacentral:rRNA from 1 species